UCUCCGUUGGUGAACCAGCGGAGGGAUCAUUACCGAGUUUAUAACUCCCAAACCCUAUGUGAACUUACCACUUGUUUCUUCGGCGCGCGCUUCGGUGCCGCCGAGCACACUUAAACUCUUUGUUUUUAUAAGCAUUUCUGAGUAGCCGUAAGGCAAAAUACAAAUGAAUCAAAACUUUCAACAACGGGUCUCUUGGUUCUG
rnacentral:misc_RNA from 1 species